rnacentral:rRNA from 1 species
CAAAAACAUAGGUUUCUGCUAAGUCGCAAGACGAUGUAUAGGAGCUGACGCCUGCCCGGUGCUGGAAGGUUAAGGGGAUCUGUUAGAGCAAUCGAAGCAGUGACCUUAAGCCCCAGUAAACGGCGGCCGUAACUAUAACGGUCCUAAGGUAGCGAAAUUCCUUGUCGGGUAAGUUCCGACCCGCACGAAAGGCGUAACGAUUUGGGCACUG